CUACGGGUGGCUGCAGUGAGGAAUAUUGCACAAUGGGGGGAACCCUGAUGCAGCAACGCCGCGUGGAGGAUGGCGCAUUUCGGUGCGUAAACUCCUUUUAUAUGUCAAGAAAAUGACGGUAGCAUAUGAAUAAGCACCGGCUAACUCCGUGCCAGCAGCCGCGGUAAUACGGAGGGUGCAAGCGUUACUCGGAAUCACUGGGCGUAAAGGACGCGUAGGCGGGUUGGAAAGUCAGGUGUGAAAUCCUACAGCUUAACUGUAGAACUGCACUUGAAACUUCUAAUCUAGAGUAUGGGAGGGGGAGAUGGAAUUAGUGGUGUAGGGGUAAAAUCCGUAGAUAUCACUAGGAAUACCUAAAGCGAAGGCGAUCUCCCGGAACAUUACUGACGCUAAGGCGUGAAAGCGUGGGGAGCAAACAGGAUUAGAUACCCUCGUAGUC
rnacentral:rRNA from 1 species